rnacentral:tRNA from 1 species
GGCUAUCUAAUAUAAGAAGUAUGCCUGCCUUCCAAGCGGAGAGUUCACACGAGUGUGAGAUAGUUA